rnacentral:lncRNA from 1 species
UUUUUACUAUAUCUUCACACUUUUUGAAACAGGAUAAAUGAGAAAGUUUGGCAAGAUGUAAGGAAAACCAUAUACUUCAUUAUUGGUAGGGAAAUUAAAUGGGCAAACCCUUUCUGGGGUGGUUAACAAUAUUUACCAAUUUUAAACAUGCAGACAGACCUUUUCUGCUAGCACAAGCUCAGGUUUAAAUAAGGUCACAUAUAUUUAUCACAGAGUUUAUACUCGAAAAAUAUGAGCAAUCUAACUAUCCAAAAGUGUUUGGUUGAUCCAUAUUACAGAUUCCAUAUAACGGAAUAUUUACAAUAUAGGUUCUAUACAAUGUAGAGUUUCAUACAGUCCAUAGAAAGUAUGAUAUAGAUCUAAGUAUGAACAUGGAUUCCAGAUUAGCUGACUAAAGACUUUUAUGAUACCUAAGAAAAGUGAGACAUACUAUACAUAAAAUGAUUGUAUUCAUUAAUAUUAUACACAUCUCUGUAGUCAUGUAAAGAAGGGUAGGUAUGAGAGAUCUGGAAGACAGCUGUCUUUGUUUUGUUUUGUUUUAAAAAAGAUGCUUUUCUGUAUUAUUUGAACUCAUUGC